CUUCACGGACCCCAGCCACAACGGCCGGUCGUCCGGACGCUCCUGGCCGUACGUGGACAGCAGCGCCUGCGCCUC
rnacentral:antisense_RNA from 1 species